GAACCGACAAUUGAGGGAUGUGAACCGACAAUUGGAAUAAUAGAAAUAUUAUGGGAGGGAGAUCAUGAGGCGGCAAAAUAGGAUUAGACAGAAUAUGGGAGGGAGAUCAUGCAAUUGGCAGAUGUGAACCGACAAAAUAGGUUUGGAUUGCCAUGGGAAAAUUAUAAGUUUGUUCUUAUAAUUAUAUGUUAUGUUUUUUGAACCGACAAAAUAGGUUUGGAUUGCCAUGGGAAAAUUAUAAGUUUGUUCUUAUAAUUAUAUGUUAUGUUUUUAGAAAACUUGGCAGCACUACUAGUACUACUACUAUAUGUUGAAUCUGCAAAACUAUUCCCCACAGACCAAACCCUCACAGCCUGCUCGCUCACGCUCGUGCCUCUUUUGCAAUAGCUGGCAAAGUCCUCGCAGUUGUUUUUAAGCAAAUUGUAUUCACCGAAACCCGUCCCAUAUGCUUGUCGAAUUAGAAUGGAUGAUUACAUACAACUGUAUUCAAAUUUACAAUUGUAAUUGACUAAUAAUUGAUCAUAACCUAAACCAAGUUAUCUGUUGCUAGAAAGUAGUUUGGAGUUAGAAUUGAUAGGAAGAACUUUUCAAACACUCACAUAUUAUGAAAUCAAAUUGUCAAUAUAGAUUAUUGAUGGCAUAAAACUACAAUCUAGAAAUAUGAAAUGCUAGAUAUCUCUUUAUCUAUGCUCCCGUUCAUAUAGAGAAACAAGAGAGAAUGAGAGCAUAAAUAGUUGCCAAGAGCUUUGAUUGCGUUCCCCGGAAAAAAAUGGAUAGGUGCACUAGUGAAAACCUCUCACGUAGAGUUAUUAAUACCUUGCCAAUGACAUACUUUAUUGCCUCUCUAAUCAAUUUGCCGAUGAAAUACUUUGUUGCCUCACAUCAUCGGCUAAUAUUUCAAUAUAGCGGGAAAAGUUCCCGCCAAAGUUUACCCGUCAAAACAAAAUUUGUCAGGGCAUCGAAUUUACGCCUACAUAAUAAUCGUCGGCUAACGUUUCAAUUUUCUCGGCUAAGAUUGGCAUUGUAAAUUGGUUCUAGUGUGAGUAUUUAGCCGACAAAUUAAAAAUUUCGUCGAGAAAGGACUCUUGUGCCGACAAAAUUUUGCUUUGUCGGCUUAUAAUUUGUCGGCAAAAUUAUAAUUUCUAGU
rnacentral:lncRNA from 1 species